UGGCAUAGCAUAUUGGAA
rnacentral:siRNA from 1 species